UUUUUAAAUUUCUUUUAUUUGUACUAUUAAAAACUGGCAUGCCUAUGAAAUAACCAGACAGUGUGACACAUGGCUGCCUUUUUGUACAUCAUGCUGAGGUACAAAGACCAGAUUUUAACAGCAGAAAUGAAUAGAAUUUUUAACA
rnacentral:pre_miRNA from 1 species